UACGGAGGGUGCGAGCGUUGUCCGGAAUCACUGGGCGUAAAGGGCGCGUAGGCGGCUCAUGAAGGCUGUGGUGAAAGUCCGGGGCUCAACCUCGGAUCGGCCGUGGCGACUCGUGGGCUGGAGCACUGUAGAGGCGGGUGGAAUUCCGGGUGUAGCGGUGGAAUGCGUAGAUAUCUGGAGGAACACCGGUGGCGAAGGCGGCAUCCUGGACCGACACUGACGCUGAGGAGCGAAAGCCAGGGGAGCAAACGGG
rnacentral:rRNA from 1 species